rnacentral:misc_RNA from 1 species
AAGUCGUAACAAGGUUUCCGUAGGUGAACCUGCGGAAGGAUCAUUACCAAUAUAGCGAACCGAGCGUUAGCGAGGCUUCGCGAUCAAUUUGUAUUUAAAACCCAACUCUUUAAAUGUAUAUUAUUAUUGUAUUUUAAAUAAUAAAAAGAUCACUUUCAACAACGGAUCUCUUGGCUCUC